ensembl:lncRNA
GUUUUUGCUGAUUGAUCUUAGUUUCCAGCUCGUAUAAAGUAGGGCAUUUGACUCAACAUCUACACCACACUCGCUUUCAUACUUCAGAUAGUGUUUUAAUUAAUAAUUUCAGAACAUGUUUCAUGGAACCGAUCAGCCGUUGCGGUAUGCAAUCAAUUCCCUUACCUCAAAUUGUUUUUCUUCACACAAACCUUCCAAAAUUGAGGUAUUUUUACCUCCAGGUCAAACACCAUAUGCUCAUUGGACAGAUAUCUAUUUACAUAAGCAUGGUGUUGGCAGAGCAUGACAUUUACCCACAGAUUACCAGAUGAGCCUAGACACUUUACUGCUCCUCCUGAAGAUGUCUUCAAAGAUGUCCCAGUCAAUGCACCUUUUCAAAGCUGUUUAAGGUAAGUCUCAGGGCCUUAGAGGAAUCAGACUAACCCUUCCUUUGUGUUCAUAAAUAAUUAUAAAGUAUAAUUCCACUCUCUCAGGGUAUCUGGCAUUUCUUAGGGUAAAAUAGUUUUGUCGUGAGCAGGUUGAAUGGAUAACACAGCAAAUGGAGGGGGAGGAAAAUAAUCUGUGUUUGUGCCACUUUUAUAUGCGACAGUGCAGCAGCCGUUCACUGAUGAAGGUUUGCACAGCCAUCAAAAAGCUCACCAAAGGUCAGGCCUGUACAGCCUCUUUGAUGGAGACAUGAUUUGCUUUGUCUGUGAAUGUUGGGUGAUCCGAGGCCUACCACAAACCAAGCCUUCAUAUUCCCAAGGUGUUAUUCAAAUGUGUGCUACAGUUAGCUUUUUUGUUCUUAUUCUAAAAUAAUGAAAUAGUAUCAUCCCACACCAAAGUUGGUUGAACCUUGGUUUUCUGGUUUUUCUGUGCCACUGGAAUGAUCCUUUCACAAAUAUGUGGUAUUCUAGGUGAUUAAAUUGCAUACAAACUGCUCCACCUGUGCCUGCCCAUAUGGAUACCCACGCUACCACCAACCCCCUGACUUUGUGGCUUCCAUUGAGCAUAUUCUUAGUUUUUUUUCUCCCCUUUAGAUCAGUGUUCUGUCCCUGUGCUGAAUUCCUGCUGCUUAUCAGAGUCUGUUAUCAGCAAAUUGAGAAAAGGCUCAGUGAAUUGCAAUGCCAGUAGUAAUCCCUGCAGAUUCAACCAGGCUGCUCAAGGUGGAUCAGAUUGUGUGCCUUCUGUUGCUCAGUCUGUCCUUCUCAGACAUGUCGUUCUUUUCCCCCUUGUAGUUUUCGCUCUCCGUGAAAACUUGCUCACCUGUAGGAAGCAGUUCUUUCCUGGUUCCAGUUUUCUGAGGGUUGGAAGAACAUUCCAUCAGUUUCCCACCCAACAGACACAGAACGUUUGCCAUGUUCUACAUGAUAUUAAUGGGAAUGUCGCUGGAUAAUUUCUUUAUUGAUUCUCAGGAUAUUGCUUGAUGGUCCCAAAGAUAUAUUCUUCCCUCCCAAAAUUGCCACUUGUUUCGGUUUCUGAGCUAAUAACUCCCUGAUUUGUGAACUAAUGAUCCAUUCAUAGGUAUUUAGUCUGUUAGCAUGGUUGAAUCUUUUUUUUUUUUUUUACAUUGGACAUGAUUAUUUAAAUAGAAAUUAAUGUUCCACAUGUCCUUAGCUGGGAUUUAAACUCCCAAACUCUUAGUUCAGAGCUUCCCAUGACACCAUGGAAUCCCCUCCCAAGUGAUCAAGAUGUAAGUUUGCUCUAAUCAACAUGCAGAUUAAAAACAACUCUUUUAAAUGCUCGGCUAUAUACAUAUACAGUGCCUUGCUAAAUAUUCAGACCUCCGACUAAUUCUCUCCUCUUACUGACCUACAAAAUGGUACAUUGACAUUUCAUUCUGGUUUAAAGUUGAAUUUUAAACACUGAAAAUCAAAACAAGUUGUUGGAAAUAUUUGUAAGAAAAAUAAACACUGUUGUUGUUUGCCUUAGUAUUUACCCAAAUGCUGUGGAAUCUCCCAGUUUACAGAGAUGAAAGAAAUGGUGACAUCACUGCUGGAUUGGCCCUCCUCCUCCAAUCCAGUGUUCGGCAUCUCCCUCCUAUUAACAAUGGUUACAGUCACCAGGGAAGCGCGAGGUCCCAUGAGGGCAUGAACUGAGCAUUACGCACCUGUGUUUUAUUUGGGAAUCAGGGGGGUAUUUAGGAUGUAGGCUGACACCGGUGCGUUGUUGGUGAUUAUCUGUGUCUGUUAGAGGAAGGGCUUUGCAGUCUGCACCUGCACGCCGAGUUUACAGUAGGUUAUGUGUAUUCUGGUUUUGUUUUAUAGACUAGUUUUCAUGUUUCAGGCCCAGGGCUGUUGUUUUUUUGUUUCUCUGUUUUCUGGAUGUUGGAUUUAACUUCCCAUUGGUGUCUACCUGUGAACCAUUAAAGUUGCUGUCACAUUUUCUAGAUAAAAUUCUUUGGUGAAGAAUCAUUGGUCAGGUUGUGAAUGUGGGGAAUUGACAAACCUGGUGUUUCAAGUGCCAUGCUCUACUGAGCGGAGCUACAUGGGGCAUUAUGUAGAUCGAAUGUUCAUAUAACUAAUGGAAAAACAUAACAUUAGGUGUAACAUUACAAGUCUUUUCACCGAGAACAGUAUGCUGGGAUGCAGCCGUGAAAAACAAUUGUCCCAGAAGAACUGCAUGAAUGUUCUCCAGGAAGUCAGCAUUGGGUAAUUAGAGUUAAAGCUCUGAUCUAGUCCUGGGAUCAUUGCAGAUUUGCGGUGCUGAUUUGUGUCUUGUUUAAGACCGCAGAGUUAGCUACUGUGAGCAUCUCCUCCCCACAGCAACCGUGUUGUGAAAACAUGGCAGUAGAGAUGUUUACAGCGGCGUUCCUCUGGGCGCAGAGCAAACAGUUUAUCUUCUUCCUAAAGCAGCUUGCCUCCCUCCUGAGUCUGUCAGCCAAGCUUGCUGCAGCAUCUCACUGACAACUGUAUAUGCGUUAGUCAAACAGAUGGGUUUGCCAGCACACCCUUCCCGUAUCUUCCCAGGACUAUUU